GAUGGAUUGUGUAAAAUGGGGGAGGUUUGUGAGGCUAGAAAGCUCGUGGAUGAAAUGGCUAGUACUGGGGUGAAACAAAGUGAUUAUACUUAUAACAUAUUGUUACAAGCAUAUAUGAAGAUGCAAGAUUUUGUGGCUGUAAAGGAAAUUUUGAGGAAAAUGGAGAAGGAUGGUUUUGAUCUCAAUCUGACUAGUUAUACACUU
rnacentral:misc_RNA from 1 species